UUCAUUCAGAAUGGAAGUCGCCAAAGUGAAGAGGAAGGAACCACGGCGCAUUUGUAAACACUGUGAUCUAGAACUUAGUAGUAGUUGUUUCUACGAGCAUAAAAAACGCUACUUUUUCAAAGGAGUUUGGUACAGAAACAUCGAACAGCUACAUAAUGCACAGGAAAUCCAGCUGUUGGUCAGGCAGAAAUAUUACAGCGGUAAUGAUGCACCAGAAACACUAAAUAAAACUACUGAGACCCCGGGUGGAGGUACUGAAGAAACUGAAGGAAUAAACCCACUGACCGAUAAUUCAACCAACCACCAGGAUAAUCAAAUUGUUCAUUGUUUUGGAGAGAUUGGCACAACUGAGGAUCCACAUCCACCAACUGAUGAUUCAGAUGAUGAUGGAAGCAUAGGUGACCAAAGCAUUCAUCUUUUCCUUGACUCCAGCGGUUCUGAUUCAAUGGAAGAUGAAUGAAGAAGCAGUGUUUUGCGGAUGGUUAUGUUGCUGAGGAGGAUAAAGAGGGAGAGGACUUGCAGAAGACUCCAUACUGGGCCACACUCAGAAAGGCUGUCAACGCAUUAUGACCCUGACGCAAUAAAGAGGCAGCUUUUGAGGCCUUAGGCGUUUUUUUUUUUUUUUUUGAGAGUAUGCAUUUUCUGCAUCU